GAGAAGAGCUUGAAGAAUCAAAUUGGGGUAAGCUUAGGAGCUAAAGUGAAGCCUAGGUUUGGAUUAAUCAUUAUCUAAUGUAAGGGGGUUAGUCUUCAUCAUAAUCAUGUUCAUUUAUUGCAAUUUCUCAUUUGUUGUAUGAAUAUGGGUUGAAUUGAAUAAAUGGAUAAUUGUUGCUAAAUUCGUGCUCUAACUUUGAUGUUAUGUUUGUAUGCAUGAAUUGAUGAUAAUUGUAUGAUUGUUGGUGAAAUUACAUGUUCAAUUAUGUAAAAAUGUGAAGUUGUGAAAAUUGUGCUCAAUUGGUGAAUUUUGCUAUGUUGUUGUUGAAUUAU
rnacentral:lncRNA from 1 species